rnacentral:tRNA from 1 species
GUGUCCGUGGCCCAACUGGUAGGGCGCCGGUUUGUGAUGCCGGAAGGUGCCGGUUCGAGUCCGGUCGGACACCCCA